GGGAAGGUGGCUCAGUGGUAGAGUGCUUGCUUUGCAUGCAUGAGGCCCUGGGUUCGAUUCCUCAGCACAUCCC
rnacentral:tRNA from 1 species